UAUAAAUAGACCUCCUCCACCUCCUUUCUAGGGUUAGCAAAGUGAUAGCUCAUUCCUAGGUGAGCUUUGCUCCUACCUAUCUCUACUCUUGAGAGAGAGAGACCACUACUCCAUUGGAGGCCAAGACCUCCAUCUAGGAGAAGAUCCCGCGGGAUAUCAUCAAGACCCCCUUGUGGGAAGAUCCAUCUAGGAUAUCAUCAAGACCUCCUCUUGGAGAUGAACCUUACCUUGUAUCUUUCCCUUUGUUGUUCAUAUACCUUGUGAUCUUGUGUGUUUGAUUGUCUAGUGGAUGUGUGAUUUGGACUUGUUCUUGAGUGUUUCCCCUUGUGAUUUCUUCCCGUUCUUCCCCGUGUUCAUCGUGUUCUUCGAGGGAUCCCACUCCAAACGUGAAAGAUCGUCGCUAUAGGGUUCCACCCUACAUCAUAUGGUAUCAUGAGCCACGUUGAUCACGUUUUUGGAGUCCCUCCCACCGUUUUCUAGCCUUCUUUUGCUUGAUUUCGUCCUAAAUCCGAAAAUCCCCACCAAAAAUAGCCCCCAAAAUUUUUUGUGAUUUGUUGGUUUGAUGAUGUUUUGUUGAUUUUGAUCCGUGGAUUUGCUUGGUUUCAAGUGGAUCUAGCAUCUCCCCAAGUUUCCCCAUCUUCCAUCCACGAAAUCCAUCAAAUUUUGCCCCGAAAAUCAUCCAUUUCCGCCCAAAAAAUUCAUCCCCACGAGCAAAUCCCGAGCGGAUUGACUUGCCCGGAUCAUCCAGACAUUCUCCCGGAUCAUCCGGACCUCACCCGGAUCAGCUGGACGCCCCCCCGGACGUCCGGAUAAAUCGCGCACCCAGAAAACAGAACCGGCGCUGACGAACCCGGAUCAUCCUGAUUUCCUCCCGGAUCAUCCGGACCUAGCCCGGAUCAUCCGGACCUCCUCCCGGAUCAUUCGGUUAACCCUGAAACUGACACGGCUGAAAUCUUAUUUCGGUCAUAACUAAUUCAUCCGGAGUCCGAUUUUGACGUUCUUUAGCUCGUUUUGAAGCUCUUGACAUCCCCCAUCCCACAAAAAUACCACCAACAUCAUUUGACUCCAUCAUAUUUUCUGAAAUUUGGCAAGUUUGCCUAGGGCUUCCACCAUAUCAUCCGCAUUACCACCACCGACUUCCGCAACCUAACCCAUUUUGUUCCCCAUAGCAUUUGAGGUUGUUUGAGUAGUGAAUUGAGUCUCCUAAGGUGUUUCGGCUACUUAGGGACGGUUGCUUCUUCAUCAACCACCACCACCACCACUUCCACAUAACCUUCCCACCAUACACUUCCGACAACCCAACUUAACCCAAUUGUUGUUUGAGCUUGUUCGAGUUGUGGCUUGUGUCUCCUAAGGUGUUUCGGCUACUUAGGGACGGCAACUUCAACUCCGACUUGUGUAUAACCCAUCAUUCCACUUCCGCAUUUCCUAGUGCAACACCACCACCGCUUUCCGCUACCACCAUUUGACAUUUGUCACUUGAGAUUUUGAGUUUGCGGUUUUUCCGUUUCCUAAGGUGUUUCGGCUACUUAGGGACGAGUCUCCAUCAUCUUGGUAUCUACACCAAGAACAUCGCCACUCAUCAUCACAAAGGACGGUAACCUCGACGACACCAUUGUAUAUUCCCUUGCAAUUGCAUUAUUAACCCCUAGCCCAUUUUGCGUUACUUGCCUAUCGAGACUAGCCAUUUGAGUAUUGCGGCAACGUGACUUGUGCACAUUAGUGGUCUACACCAUCCAUUGCAUACAUACCAUAUCAUCUUGGUAUCAUAUCAUCCAUUGUGCCUCAAGUUUGUUCCCGCAUAUACACAAUUGCUAUCUUGGUUUGUGCAUUGUGCAAAAGUGGCCAUAGAAAAAAAAGAGAAAACGCUUUUAAGCAAAAAGAGAGCAAAGAGCUCGUGAGCAAGUGCCAUAGCAUCAUACCCCCAUUGCAAAUAAGAGCCAUACCAAAAUCUACAUCAUAUGAUAUCAUGCUUGAGAGAAGCACUGGGAACCAUACAUACAUAGCAUACUUGGGAUAGAAGUUUAUCCAUUUCGCAUCUAUAGGUUGUGCACAAGUGUCGUAUCCGCCUAUUGAGCAAUCGCGCUAGCGUCUCUCUUGAGUUGUGCAAUACGAGCAUUUUCCGUGGACUCCACAUUUUGUGCUCAUUCCUUGGUUGCACGACCCCAUUUAUCUAUCCGUGUGUGUGUUUACGUGUACCAUUUGCUAUUGGUCUACUUGUUUCACUUGCGAAUUUGUGAAUCUCUUUCAACAUUAUUGACUCUUGCUAACAUUUUGCAUUAAAUUUUUGUGCCACUAUCCUCACCGAGCUCCACCAUAAGCUUUACUUGAUAGGUGUGAGUGAACAAGUCCGGUACCAAUUCCACUAUUCUUUCAUCUCACAUUGAGUGACACGGGAUACAUCCUCAAUGUUGGGAAAAGGUAACUUGGUAUUGUUUAUCUCAUUUCCUACUCACCUCUACUCGAGUCUUGUGAUGGAUAGGCAAGGCAUUUCACUUUCGGUCUACAACAACAAUGACGAGUUCGAUGCCAUGAACAACAACUACGACACCAAGAUGGACAAGCGCAUGGAGGAGAUCAAGGCCCUCAUCAAGUCCUACAAGCGAUCUUCCUCAUCUUCGAGAAGACGCUCAAGAGCACAUCCUUCCGAGCUACCACCUCCGGCAAGAUCACAUCGGCAUCGACACCAUCACCAACAAGAACGUGAAGGUUCAGAGCUCAACACCAACAACCGCUCAACGACUUCACCAUCUCCCUUGGCAUCUUCGCCAAGCGACUUCAAGGCAUCUUCGCUGACGGACAUAUUGCAUCUUCGCCAACAAGAACCUCAAGACUACACUCAAGAGAAGCUACCCAAGCUCAAGUCCGCGACUUCCACGAGCUACUACGACCUUGACACCGACCACAAGAUUCCUUUCUAUGGGACUCAAGAACCCGAGGAGUACCUCGAGUGGGAGCGUUUGAUGGACGACUACCUCAAGCUACAUCAAGUUCCUCCCGAAGAUCAAGUGAAGUGCGCCACAAGAAACUUCCAUGACUACGCAUUGGCAUGGUGGCUUAACACACCUUCGGAGUACUAUGACAUGAGUUGGCACAAGACGAAGAAAGCUUUGCGGUGAGAGUUUGUGCCUCCAACCUACACGGAACAACUUCUAGGAGAACACCACCCAAGGAUCCAAGUCCAUCGACAAGUACUUCAAAGAGAUGAUGAUUGCCUUGCGACGAGCCGGCGUGGACGACCCCAUUUCGAUGAAGUUCCACUUCAUGAUGGGAUUGCACAAUGACAUCUCCAAGACCAUCUUCCUCGAGAACUACAAGUCCAUCGACGACUACUACAUUGGUGCUCUCAAGGCGGAACAAGAACUCAUGAAGGCCAAGGCUUCUCCACUCCAAGCAAACUUCGCGGCGACCAAGCUCUAUGACAAGCAUGAGGCUAGUACCACCAUGAUGUCCAAGGCCGACAAGCUCCAAGACGAUGCUCCCAAGUGUGACUUCACCGCCAUCCCUCUUUGUGGCAUUGAUGAUGCCGAGUCUACUUCGACUCUUUUUCAAGACGGCGCGGCGACGAGUUCGACUACGGAGACCUUCAAGGACCAAGCUUUGGAGGCGAGUGACAAGGUGAAGAGCAAGGAUGAUGCUUCCAUCUUAGGAGGCAAGAGUGAUGAUGUGCCAUCUUCGGCCUUCAUCCACGACGAGAGUGAUGUUGAGCCAUCUUCGGCCUUCAUCCACGACGAGAGUGAUGAUGGGCCAUCUUCGGCCUUCAUCCACGGCGACCACGACGAGAUGGUUGAGCAUGGGACUUUCCCUUCGACCACGGCGAUGUAUGAUGACUUGAGUGACUUGUGCCACCAUAUUGAGAGUGAGAGUGACUUCACCACUAGCCCCAUAUAUGAUGAGUUGCCACAAUUCCCAUGUGAGGAGAGCCACAACCCCCACCACUUGAGUGAGAUGAGUGACUCCACCAUACGUGAGUUUGAGUGCAUCUAUUUUGAGGGAGUGAGUGAACCACCACAUAGAGAGAGUGAGAUAGUUGAUAGGUCUCGUGAGGCCAUUUGCAUUUCUAACAACUUGACCUCUACCUCUAUUGUGUCUUCUCGUUUGGUGCUAGGUCCCAUUUAUGAUGACGCGCCGAUCCUCGACGACUUCGUCCUCCCUUUGGACAAGACAAUGGCCAUGGUGGAUUAUGAUGCACCGCCCACAUGGUUCCAUCAAGAUGAUGAUGAUGACCACCAUUUGGUCUUUCCCACCUCACCUACACCACUUGAGUGGAAUGACAAAGGUAACAUAUGUGAAGGUGAUGCUCUAGUCCCACUAGUGGACAUUCUUGACAUUGAUUGCUUGCAUGAUGUUGAUCCACCUAUUGCCAUGCUUCAUGCAAGUAUGAUUUCCCCAUGCGAUGAUUUGCCCAUUUAUGAUGAGUAUGAUGAUUCUAUUGUGGAUUCUAUUAGUUGUGAUGCCAUGUUACAUAGGAUUUCUUGUGACAAUUCUUUAGGUCACAUCAUGUUUGAUAAUCCGCUUGACUUGUCAUAUGCUAUGCAUGAGAUCAACCAUAUGUCUUAUUUGGAAUCUCUUCAUAGUGACUAUGCAUAUGCCAUUAAAAUAAACCCAAUUUGCACAUAUGGGAUAGAUGACAAGCCCAUGGUUAUUGGCAUUUGUUUUUCUUGUGAUGAUAUUGAUAUGCUCCCUUUGCAUCAUUUAUCUCAUAUGCCAUGCCAUGACCACCUAGCUUCGGAUAUGCAUUGUUUUGGAUGUUGUCCAUUUUCUCCAUGUGAUGUUUCCGAUAUUGCUCAUGAGGAGGCCCCCAUAGUUUCCUCAUACAUUUUAGGAGAUUUUGAUCCAUCCCAUCCAUUGCAUGAUCCCAAUACGUGUGUGCACCAUAUGCUCCCCAUGAAUAAACAUGCUUUUGAUGUGCCUUAUACUUGUUUGCUCAAUUUGUGUCCCCAUCGUGUCAUACAUAAUAACUAUUCUUUCAUGAUGGAUGACAUGUUCUUAUACCAUGCAUCAAAUUUCUUUGAGCGAUGCUUAUCUUGUGCUAACUCACACGUGCACAUACACAUCAUGAUGGAUGAUGUGUACAUUUACCACACACACAAUUUCUUUCGUUUGUGUCUCUUUUGUGUAGGUACCCAUGCAUACUUGUCAACUUCGCAAUCCCACGAGUUGACAAAACGAGCUCUUGAGAGCAAUGACGAUUUGGGAUACCGUGGACUAUCCUUACCACCGUUCCCUUAGCGCAAGGACUACGCGCAACUCCUCUACUUGGCUCUCACACGGCUAUGGGCCAUUUACCACUUCUCACAUUAUGCUCAUUUUACCGUGUUCACUUUGCAUGCUAUGCUUGCUUCUAUGCCUUUGCCAUGCAAUUGUGACCCUUGUUUUCAUCUACCCAUGAUUCUCCAUUAUGAUAUUCCUAUGUGUAUUUGCAUGCUUGGUGGAGAUCCUUGUUGCUUUUGCCAUGUUUAUCAUGUGCCCCAUUCUAUUGAUGCUUGUUGUGUUGGGAGAGUCAUGAUGACCCAUUGCUAUUCACAUAUGGCCUCUCGCCAAUACAUUCAUGAUAUUGUACUCAUAUCUUGCUUUCAUGCUUGUGCUAUGACUUGUGAAUUAUUCAUACCCACUAUUUGCACCAAUGACAUGUUUACCAUGAUUCCUCCUAGUAUGUUGCAUCUUCGCACUACUAGCUUGCUUGAUUUGAUAGCUAUGAAUGCUCGCUAUAUUGCAUCACCCAUGUUCCACUACUUGCUUUCUUGGGUUAAUGACAUAUAUGCUCAUGCCUCACACAUGUUGAACAAUUGCUCUUUCCAUUGUGUUGAGUGCCACAAUAUCUUCACUACACCCUAUGCACGUUAUGCUUGGAUUGUCUUGCACUUGCCCCGUGUGUUUAGACAUUUCACUAUAUUUGGUGUUGUGAAUGACUCUUAUGCCUACCAUAGACCGUUCAUUGAGCACUUUAUGCAUGCUUGCUAUGACCUUGAGGUAGAUGCUUCUUCACUUAUCACAUAUAUUUGCAUCUUGAUCUCACAUUUGCAUGCUUGUUCCCAUGAUGUACUUGAUUGUGCUCAAUUUAUAUGCUCAAAUGCCAUGCCACACUUCUUUGUCAAACCAUAUGCUAUGCUUGAUGACAACACUUGUUGGGUGAAUCACCUCUUGAAUGCUUGGUUUUGCUCUUACGACAACCACAUUUGUUUUUCCAAGAGCUAUCUUUGCUACUUUUGAAGGAAUUACAAGACGGCGCGACAUUGGAGAGUGCCCAUUUGGAACUACAAGAUGACGAAUGCUUGGUGAUCGUCCACUUCUACACGACGACAUCAUCUCUUUCCCAUGGUGAUUUGGAUUUCGUUCCGAGGUCGGAUCUUUCCCAAGGGGGAGGGGAUGAUGCGGAGCAUCCUACGGACAUCACCAUGUCAAGAGCCCAUUUGGCAAGUGACACGUGCGACAUCUACUUCACACACACCAAGGUGAAUAAUCUCCUUUACACGUGCUCACUUGACCCCUUCGAGGAUGGCAUACUACUUGACACUUCUCCCGUGUGCAUGCAUAGGUAUUGUCGGAACUUCACGGACGACGAGGAGGAGUGCAAGCGCCAAGGAACGACUACACCAUCUGCGAGGGAAGCGUGGAAGAGAAGACGGAAGAAAGGAGAAGAAGACGGAGCGGCUGCAGGAGCCAGGCCGGACAUCCGGACCACCGUCCGGAUCAUCCGGGCUCGGCCGGAUCAUCCGGGUCCCCCUUCGGAUCAUCCGGACAAUUUGGCCCGAAGACAACAGAAGCUGCCCGACGAAGCCGGAUCAUCCGGACGGUCGCCCGGAUCAUCCGGACCCCCGACACCCGGAUCAUCCGGGCCACCAUCUGGAUCAUCCGGACCCCGCCUGCGUGCGUGACUUGGGCCGAAGCCCGUGUACCCCUUUGCCCCUCACAUACCCCUUCGCCCCUUGGGCUAUAAAUAGACCUCCUCCACCUCCUUUCUAGGGUUAGCAAAGUGAUAGCUCAUUCCUAGGUGAGCUUUGCUCCUACUUAUCUCUACUGUUGAGAGAGAGAGACCACUACUCCAUUGGAGGCCAAGACCUCCAUCUAGGAGAAUAUCCCGCGGGAUAUCAUCAAGACCCCCUUGUGGGAAGAUCCAUCUAGGAUAUCAUCAAGACCUCCUCUUGGAGAUGAACCUUACCUUGUAUCUUUCCCUUUGUUGUUCAUAUACCUUGUGAUCUUGUGUGUUUGAUUGUCUAGUGGAUGUGUGAUUUGGACUUUUUCUUGAGUGUUUCCCCUUGUGAUUUCUUCCCGUUCUUCCCCGUGUUCAUCGUGUUCUUCGAGGGAUCCCACUCCAAACGUGAAAGAUCGUCGCUAUAGGGUUCCACCCUACAUCAUAUGGUAUCAUGAGCCACGUUGAUCACGUUUUUGGAGUCCCUCCCACCGUUUUCUAGCCUUCUUUUGCUUGAUUUCGUCCUAAAUCCGAAAAUCCCCACCAAAAAUAGCCCCCAAAAUUUUUUGUGAUUUGUUGGUUUGAUGAUGUUUUGUUGAUUUUGAUCCGUGGAUUUGCUUGGUUUCAAGUGGAUCUAGCAUCUCCCCAAGUUUCCCCAUCUUCCAUCCACGAAAUCCAUCAAAUUUUGCCCCAAAAAUCAUGCAUUUCCGCCCAAAAAAUUCAUCCCCACGAGCAAAUCCCGAGCGGAUUGACUUGCCCGGAUCAUCCGGACAUUCUCCCGGAUCAUCCGGACCUCGCCCGGAUCAGCUGGACGCCCCCCCGGACGUCCGGAUAAAUCGCGCACCCAGAAAACAGAACCAGCGCUGACGAACCCGGAUCAUCCGGAUUUCCUCCCGGAUCAUCCGGACCUAGCCCGGAUCAUCCGGACCUCCUCCCGGAUCAUCCGGACCUAGCCCGGAUCAUCCGGACCUCCUCCCGGAUCAUUCGGUUAACCCUGAAACUGACACGGCUGAAAUCUUAUUUCGGUCAUAACUAAUUCAUCCGGAGUCCGAUUUUGACGUUCUUUAGCUCGUUUUGAAGCUCUUGACAUCCCCCAUCCCACAAAAAUACCACCAACAUCAUUUGACUCUAUCAUAUUUUCUGAAAUUUGGCAAGUUUGCCUAGGGCUUCCACCAUAUCAUCCGCAUUACCACCACCGACUUCCGCAACCUAACCCAUUUUGUUCCCCAUAGCGUUUGAGGUUGUUUGAGUAGUGACUUGAGUCUCCUAAGGUGUUUCGGCUACUUAGGGACGGUUGCUUCUUCAUCAACCACCACCACCACCACUUCCACAUAACCUUCCCACCAUACACUUCCGACAACCCAACUUAACCCAAUUGUUGUUUGAGCUUGUUCGAGUUGUGGCCUGUGUCUCCUAAGGUGUUUCGGCUACUUAGGGACGGCAACUUCAACUCCGACUUGUGUAUAACCCAUCAUUCCACUUCCGCAUUGCCUAGUGCAACACCACCACCGCUUUCCGCUACCACCAUUUGACAUUUGUCAUUUGAGAUUUUGAGUUUGCGGUUUUUCCGUUUCCUAAGGUGUUUCGGCUACUUAGGGACGAGUCUCCAUCAUCUUGGUAUCUACACCAAGAACACCGCCACUCAUCAUCACAAAGGACGGUAACCUCGACGACACCAUUGUAUAUUCCCUUGCAAUUGCAUUAUUAACCCCUAGCCCAUUUUGCGUUACUUGCCUAUCGAGACUAGCCAUUUGAGUAUUGCCGGCAACGUGACUUGUGCACAUUAGUGGUCUACACCAUCCAUUGCAUACAUACCAUACCAUCUUGGUAUCAUAUCAUCCAUUGUGCCUCAAGUUUGGUCCCGCAUAUACACAAUUGCUAUCUUGGUUUGUGCAUUGUGCAAAAGUGGCCAUAGAAAAAAAAAGAGAAAAAGCUUUUAAGCAAAAAGAGAGCAAAGAGCUCGUGAGCAAGUGCCAUAGCAUCAUACCCCCAUUGCAAAUAAGAGCCAUACCAAAAUCUACAUCAUAUGAUAUCAUGCUUGAGAGAAACACCGGGAACCAUACAUACAUAGCAUACUUGGGAUAGAAGUUUAUCCAUUUCGCAUCUAUAGGUUGUGCACAAGUGUCGUAUCCGCCUAUUGAGCAAUCGUGCUAGCGUCUCUCUUGAGUUGUGCAAUACGAGCAUUUUCCGUGGACUCCACAUUUUGUGCUCAUUCCUUGGUUGCACGACCCCAUUUAUCUAUCCGUGUGUGUGUUUACGUGUACCAUUUGCUAUUGGUCUACUUGUUUCACUUGCGAAUUUGUGAAUCUGUUUCAACAUUAUUGACUCUUGCUAACAUUUUGCAUUAAAUUUUUGUGCCACUAUCCUCACCGAGCUCCACCAUAAGCUUUACUUGAUAGGUGUGAGUGAACAAGUCCGGUACCAAUUCCACUAUUCUUUCAUCUCACAUUGAGUGACACGGGAUACAUCCUCAACGUUGGGAAAAGGUAACUUGGUAUUGUUUAUCUCAUUUCCUACUCACCUCUACUCGAGUCUUGUGAUGGAUAGGCAAGGCAUUUCACUUUCGGUCUACAACAACAAUGACGAGUUCGAUGCCAUGAACAACAACUACGACGCCAAGAUGGACAAGCGCAUGGAGGAGAUCAAGGCCCUCAUCUAGUCCUACAAGCGAUCUUCCUCAUCUUCGAGAAGACGCUCAAGAGCACAUCCUUCCGAGCUACCACCUCCGGCAAGAUCACAUCGGCAUCGACACCAUCACCAACAAGAACGUGAAGGUCCAGAGCUCAACACCAACAACCGCUCAACGACUUCACCAUCUCCCUUGGCAUCUUCGCCAAGCGACUUCAAGGCAUCUUCGCCUAUGGACAUAUUGCAUCUUCGCCAACAAGAACCUCAAGACUACACUCAAGAGAAGCUACCCAAGCUCAAGUCCGCGACUUCCACGAGCUACUACGACCUCGACACCGACCACAAGAUUCCUUUCUAUGGGACUCAAGAACCCGAGGAGUACCUCGAGUGGGAGCGUUUGAUGGACGACUACCUCAAGCUACAUCAAGUUCCUCCCGAAGAUCAAGUGAAGUGCGCCACAAGAAACUUCCACGACUACGCAUUGGCAUGGUGGCUUCACACACCUUCGGAGUACUACGACAUGAGUUGGCACAAGACGAAGAAAGCUUUGCGGCGAGAGUUUGUGCCUCCAACCUACACGGAACAACUUCGACGCCAAUUGGAGAACACCACCCAAGGAUCCAAGUCCAUCGACAAGUACUUCAAAGAGAUGAUGAUUGCCUUGCGACGAGCCGGCGUGGACGACCCCAUUUCGAUGAAGUUCCACUUCAUGAUGGGAUUGCACAAUGACAUCUCCAAGACCAUCUUCCUCGAGAACUACAUGUCCAUCGACGACUACUACAUUGGUGCUCUCAAGGCGGAACAAGAACUCAUGAAGGCCAAGGCUUCUCCACCCCAAGCAAACUUCGCGGCGACCAAGCUCUACGACAAGCAUGAGGCUAGUACCACCAUGAUGUCCAAGGCCGACAAGCUCCAAGAUGAUGCUCCCAAGUGUGACUUCACCGCCAUCCCUCUUUGUGGCAUUGAUGAUGCCGAGUCUACUUCGACUCUUUUUCAAGACGGCGCGGCGACGAGUUUGACUACGGAGACCUUCAAGGACCAAGCUUUGGAGGCGAGUGACAAGGUGAAGAGCAAGGAUGAUGCUUCCAUCUUAGGAGGCAAGAGUGAUGAUGUGCCAUCUUCGGCCUUCAUCCACGACGAGAGUGAUGUUGAGCCAUCUUCGGCCUUCAUCCACGACGAGAGUGAUGAUGGGCCAUCUUCGGCCUUCAUCCACGGCGACCACGACGAGAUGGUUGAGCAUGGGACUUUCCCUUCGACCACGGCGAUGUACGAUGACUUGAGUGACUUGUGCCACCAUAUUGAGAGUGAGAGUGACUUCACCACUAGCCCCAUAUAUGAUGAGUUGCCACAAUUCCCAUGUGAGGAGAGCCACAACCCCCACCACUUGAGUGAGAUGAGUGACUCCACCAUACGUGAGUUUGAGUGCACCUAUUUUGAGGGAGUGAGUGAACCACCACAUAGAGAGAGUAAGAUAGUUGAUAGGUCUCGUGAGGCCAUUUGCAUUUCUAACAACUUGACCUCUACCUCUAUUGUGUCUUCUCGUUUGGUGCUAGGUCCCAUUUAUGAUGACGCGCCGAUCCUCGACGACUUCGUCCUCCCUUUGGACAAGACAAUGGCCAUGGUGGAUUAUGAUGCACCGCCCACAUGGUUCCAUCAAGAUGAUGAUGAUGACCACCAUUUGGUCUUUCCCACCUCACCUACACCACUUGAGUGGAAUGACAAAGGUAACAUAGGUGAAGGUGAUGCUCUAGUCCCACUAGUGGACAUUCUUGACAUUGAUUGCUUGCAUGAUGUUGAUCCACCUAUUGCCAUGCUUCAUGCUAGUAUGAUUUCCCCAUGCGAUGAUUUGCCCAUUUAUGAUGAGUAUGAUGAUUCUAUUGUGGAUUCUAUUAGUUGUGAUGCCAUGUUACAUAGGAUUUCUUGUGACAAUUCUUUAGGUCACAUCAUGUUUGAUAAUCCGCUUGACUUGUCAUAUGCUAUGCAUGAGAUCAACCAUAUGUCUUAUUUGGAAUCUCUUCAUAGUGACUAUGCAUAUGCCAUUAAAAUAAACCCAAUUUGCACAUAUGGGAUAGAUGACAAGCCCAUGGUUAUUGGCAUUUGUUUUUCUUGUGAUGAUAUUGAUAUGCUCCCUUUGCAUCAUUUAUCUCAUAUGCCAUGCCAUGACCACCUUGCUUCGGAUAUGCAUUGUUUUGGAUGUUGUCCAUUUUCUCCAUGUGAUGUUUCCGAUAUUGCUCAUGAGGAGGCCCCCAUAGUUUCCUCAUACAUUUUAGGAGAUUUUGAUCCAUCCCAUCCAUUGCAUGAUCCCAAUACGUGUGUGCACCAUAUGCUCCCCAUGAAUAAACAUGCUUUUGAUGUGCCUUAUACUUGUUUGCUCAAUUUGUGUCCCCAUCGUGUCAUACAUAAUAACUAUUCUUUCAUGAUGGAUGACAUGUUCUUAUACCAUGCAUCAAAUUUCUUUGAGCGAUGCUUAUCUUGUGCUAACUCACACGUGCACAUACACAUCAUGAUGGAUGAUGUGUACAUUUACCACACACACAAUUUCUUUCGUUUGUGUCUCUUUUGUGUAGGUACCCAUGCAUACUUGUCAACUUCGCAAUCCCACGAGUUGACAAAACGAGCUCUUGAGAGCAAUGACGAUUUGGGAUACCGUGGACUAUCCUUACCACCGUUCCCUUCGCGCAAGGACUACGCGCAACUCCUCUACUUGGCUCUCACACGGCUAUGGGCCAUUUACCACUUCUCACAUUAUGCUCAUUUUACUGUGUUCACUUUGCAUGCUAUGCUUGCUUCUAUGCCUUUGCCAUGCAAUUGUGACCCUUGUUUGCAUCUACCCAUGAUUCUCCAUUAUGAUAUUCCUAUGUGUAUUUGCAUGCUUGGUGGAGAUCCUUGUUGCUUUUGCCAUGUUUAUCAUGUGCCCCAUUCUAUUGAUGCUUGUUGUGUUGGGAGAGUCAUGAUGACCCAUUGCUAUUCACGUAUGGCCUCUCGCCAAUACAUUCAUGAUAUUGUACUCAUAUCUUGCUUUCAUGCUUGUGCUAUGACUUGUGAAUUAUUCAUACCCACUAUUUGCACCAAUGACAUAUUUGCCAUGAUUCCUCCUAGUAUGUUGCAUCUUCGCACUACUAGCUUGCUUGAUUUGAUAGCUAUGAAUGCUCGCUAUAUUGCAUCACCCAUGUUCCACUACUUGCUUUCUUGGGUUAAUGACAUAUAUGCUCAUGCCUCACACAUGUUGAACAAUUGCUCUUUCCAUUGUGUUGAGUGCCACAAUAUCUUCACUACACCCUAUGCACGUUAUGCUUGGAUUGUCUUGCACUUGCCCCGUGUGUUUAGACAUUUCACUAUAUUUGGUGUUGUGAAUGACUCUUAUGCCUACCAUAGACCAUUCAUUGAGCACUUUAUGCAUGCUUGCUAUGACCUUGAGGUAGAUGCUUCUUCACUUAUCACAUAUAUUUGCAUCUUGAUCUCACAUUUGCAUGCUUGUUCCCAUAAUGUACUUGAUUGUGCUCAAUUUAUAUGCUCAAAUGCCAUACCACACUUCUUUGUCAAACCAUAUGCUAUGCUUGAUGACAACACUUGUUGGGUGAAUCACCUCUUGAAUGCUUGGUUUUGCUCUUACGACAACCACAUUUGUUUUUCCAAGAGCUUGUUAUCUUUGCUACUUUUGAAGGAAUUACAAGACGGUGCGACAUUGGAGAGUGCCCAUUUGGAACUACAAGAUGACGAAUGCUUGGUGAUCGUCCACUUCUACACGACGACAUCAUCUCUUUCCCAUGGUGAUUUGGAUUUCGUUCCGAGGUCGGAUCUUUCCCAAGGGGGAGGGGAUGAUGCGGAGCAUCCUACGGACAUCACCAUGUCAAGAGCCCAUUUGGCAAGUGACACGUGCGACAUCUACUUCACACACACUAAGGUGAAUCAUCUCCUUUGCACGUGCUCACUUGACCCCUUCGAGGAUGGCAUACUACUUGACACUUCUCCCGUGUGCAUGCAUAGGUAUUGUCGGAACUUCACGGACGACGAGGAGGAGUUCAAGCGCCAAGGAACGACUACACCAUCCGUGAGGGAAGCGUGGAAGAGAAGACGGAAGAAAGGAGAAGAAGACGGAGCGGCUGCAGGAGCCAGGCCGGACAUCCGGACCACCGUCCGGAUCAUCCGGGCUUGGCCGGAUCAUCCGGGUCCCCCUCCGGAUCAUGCGGACAAUUCGGCCCGAAGACAACAGAAGCUGCCCGACGAAGCCGGAUCAUCCGGACGGUCGCCCGGAUCAUCCGGACCCCCGACACCCGGAUCAUCCGGGCCACCAUCCGGAUCAUCCGGACCCCGCCUGCGUGCGUGACUUGGGCCGAAGCCCGUGUACCCCUUCGCCCCUCACAUACCCCUUCACCCCUUGGGCUAUAAAUAGACCUCCUCCACCUCCUUUCUAGGGUUAGCAAAGUGAUAGCUCAUUCCUAGGUGAGCUUUGCUCCUACCUAUCUCUACUCUUGAGAGAGAGAGACCACUACUCCAUUGGAGGCCAAGACCUCCAUCUAGGAGAAGAUCCCGCGGGAUAUCAUCAAGACCCCCUUGUGGGAAGAUCCAUCUAGGAUAUCAUCAAGACCUCCUCUUGGAGAUGAACCUUACCUUGUAUCUUUCCCUUUGUUGUUCAUGUACCUUGUGAUCUUGUGUGUUUGAUUGUCUAGUGGAUGUGUGAUUUGGACUUGUUCUUGAGUGUUUCCCCUUGUGAUUUCU
rnacentral:lncRNA from 1 species